UACGUAGGGGGCGAGCGUUGUCCGGAUUUAUUGGGCGUAAAGCGUGCGUAGGCGGUGCCGUAAGUCGGCCGUGAAAUCUCCAGGCUCAACCUGGAGGGGUCGGGCGAGACUGCGGGGCUAGAGGCGGGCAGAGGCCGGUGGAAUUCCGGGUGUAGUGGUGGAAUGCGUAGAGAUCCGGAGGAACACCAGUGGCGAAGGCGGCCGGCUGGGCCUGUCCUGACGCUGAGGCGCGAAAGCGUGGGGAGCGAUCCGG
rnacentral:rRNA from 1 species